rnacentral:rRNA from 1 species
UAUACGACCGUACCGCAAACCGACACUGGUGCGCGAGAUGAGUAUUCUAAGGCGCUUGAGAGAACUCAGGAGAAGGAACUCGGCAAAUUGACACCGUAACUUCGGAAGAAGGUGUGCCCUAUUAGUGUGUAGUGAACAACGAAGCAUGAAUGGGUUGCAAAAAAUCGGUGGCUGCGACUGUUUAUUAAAAACACAGCACUCUGCAAACACGAAAGUGGACGUAUAGGGUGUGACGCCUGCCCGGUGCUGGAAGAUUAAAUGAUGGGGUGCAAGCUCUUGAUUGAAGUCCCAGUAAACGGCGGCCGUAACGAUAACGGUCCUAAGGUAGCGAAAUUCCUUGUCGGGUAAGUUCCGACCUGCACGAAUGGCGUAACGAUGGCCACACUGUCUCCUCCUGAGACUCAGCGAAGUUGAAAUGUUUGUGAUGAUGCAAUCUCCCCGCGGAAAGACGGAAAGACCCCAUGAACCUUUACUGUAGCUUUGUAUUGGACUUUGAACAGAUCUGUGUAGGAUAGGUGGGAGGCUUUGAAGCAGGGUCGCUAGAUCUUGUGGAGCCAACGUUGAAAUACCACCCUGGUGUGUUUGAGGUUCUAACCUAGGUCCAUUAUCUGGAUCGGGGACAGUGCAUGGUAGGCAGUUUGACUGGGACGGUCUCCUCCCAAAGCGUAACGGAGGAGUUCGAAGGUACGCUAGUUACGGUCGGACAUCGUGACGAUAGUGCAAUGGCAUAAGCGUGCUUAACUGCGAGACUGACAAGUCGAGCAGAUGCGAAAGCAGGACAUAGUGAUCCGGUGGUUCUGUAUGGAAGGGCCAUCGCUCAACGGAUAAAAGGUACUCUGGGGAUAACAGGCUGAUACCGCCCAAGAGUUCAUAUCGACGGCGGUGUUUGGCACCUCGAUGUCGGCUCAUCUCAUCCUGGGGCUGUAGCCGGUCCCAAGGGUAUGGCUGUUCGCCAUUUAAAGAGGUACGUGAGCUGGGUUUAAAACGUCGAGAGACAGUUUGGUCCCUAUCUUCCGUGGGCGCUGCAGAUUUGAGGAAGCCUGCUCCUAGUACGAGAGGACCGGAGUGGACACACCUCUGGUGUAUCGGUUGUCACGCCAGUGGCAUUGCCGAGUAGCUAAGUGUGGAAGAGAUAACCGCUGAAAGCAUCUAAGCGGGAAACUCGUUUCAAGAUGAGAUCUGCCGGGGCCUUGAGCCCCCUAAAGAGUCGUUCAAGACCAGGACGUUGAUAGGUCAGGUGUGGAAGCGCAGUAAUGUGUUAAGCUAACUGAUACUAAUUGCUCGUGCGGCUUGACCA